AUCUAUGGCCGUACCACCCUGAACGUCCCCGAUUUUGUUCAAACUCGGAAGCUAAGCAGGGUCGGGCCUGGUUAGUACUUGGAUGGGAGACCGCAUAGCAAUGCCGGGUGCCGUAGGCU
rnacentral:rRNA from 1 species